CCUUGUAUACAAAACACUUCCCAUCACUUUCAGAGGGUCCAGGCCGCCCCCGUUCACCGCACGCUCUCAGGGGGUCCCAGAAGCACAAAAGGUGGCAGAAGGGUUCAUGCUUGGAUGCAACGGAGCCCCAGCUCUGGCCUAGUGGACUGCCUGAGGCCGGGAUUUUAAAACGAAAAGGCCAGACAAAACCAGGCUUUCAAUAUGGCCUCUUGAAUCGCGUGUUCUGGAGCUUCUGGUUUUCUAUUUAUUUGGCUGAACAGAGACACCUGCACUGGGUUAUAUGUGAUAAUAUUCACAGAAAUACUCGUUGACGCUCGACCUGGGGCAGGCACGUGAAGGCGAGUUUCUAAGCAGCCGAGCUGUCUUUAUUUAAAGACAUUUUCUCAGCGCUCUCCUAGAGCUGGGGUCCUACCUACCAAGCAGAGUGUGUUUCCCCUGCUUCUCGUUCCGAAACAGUCCUCAAUAUUUAAAUCCAGCUAAGAAGGUAAACCCAGCUCUGGGUCAGCGAAUGGAGCCUGCCGAGAGUCGGACGGCUGGCGAUUUACUUCUGCAAACUUCUCCACCCGCACCCGUCUCGCGGGCUGCGCGUCUCUUCUCCACCUAGUGCGCAGUCCUCCGUCGCGGCGCGGGGGCGGAUUCAUCCCUGACAAGUGCAAAGGAGCUCCGCCUGGCUCGGGGUCCUGUCUGCGCCGCUCAGAGGGAAUCGGUUCCCUGGCAGCCGAGCGGGGAGAGCCGCCUCCCAGCCACCGGCAGGCCAAGGGCAAGAGAGGCCCCGCCUGGCAGUCCACGAAGCCGAGUUCCCAACCGGCCUGCACCUACCUGGAGCCUCCGUGAUCGGUGGUGAGAAGCGGUCGCCACCGAUCUGCUCCUCCGCCAUUUAUUUGUAGUUACAUAAAUCGAGCUUUGUAUCUGAGGCUUGGAUACACGGCCACGGGCGGCUCUUGGGGAAGUUAUAAAAACCCCUUUCAUCAGAGGUUGUGAAAUUUUAUGUAUUAUAUAAGGAAAUAUAAUGAAGGCGUGUGUCUGUAAUACCGACGUGUGUAUAUAAACAGAAAAGGAUGGAGAGAGAGAGAGAGAGAUAGGAGAGAUGGCAGCCAAAAGCCCAGUCGCCGGUUUUACAGCGUGUACAGCGCGGAGAUGCAGGUUGUAAACAUUUUGUGGGCUUGGCGGAGAUUAUUACAACCCAAAUAAAUGCACCGCGUGGUGUGUUCACAGGG